ACUCAAAGGAAUUGACGGGGACCCGCACAAGCAGCGGAGCAUGUGGUUUAAUUCGAAGCAACGCGAAGAACCUUACCAGGGCUUGACAUCCCCCCGACGGCUUCGUAACGGGAGCGUCCCUUCGGGGCGGGGGAGACAGGUGGUGCAUGGUUGUCGUCAGCUCGUGUCGUGAGAUGUUGGGUUAAGUCCCGCAACGAGCGCAACCCUUGUCAUUAGUUGCCAUCAUUGAGUUGGGCACUCUAAUGAGACUGCCGGGGAUAACUCGGAGGAAGGUGGGGAUGACGUCAAAUCAUCAUGCCCCUUAUGUUCUGGGCUACACACGUGCUACAAUGGCCGGUACAACGAGAAGCGAGGCCGCGAGGCGGAGCGAAUCUCCAAAACCGGUCCCAGUUCGGAUCGCGGGCUGCAACUCGCCCGCGUGAAGUCGGAGUUGCUAGUAAUCGCGGAUCAGCACGCCGCGGUGAAUGCGUUCCCGGGUCUUGUACACACCGCCCGU
rnacentral:rRNA from 1 species